CCAAAUGUCAUUUGUGUGGGAGCCAAGAAACCCUGCUAUGGGGCAGUGGUCAGAGACCUUUGUCGUGCUUUGAAAGGGGCUGGGCUGGGCUGGGCAGGGCAGGGCGGGUCGUGGCCCACCUGGGGCCACAGUUCAGAGCCACACUUGGGUCUUUGAGGCUGCCCACCCUCCCAGCUGCCAGCAUGGGGUUGGGGGGUGUCCACCCCCAUCAGACUGAGGAGGAAACGGACACUGUGUCACCCAGAAGCAUCCCUAUGUCACCCUGUGAGGCUGGCCUUGGACCCAGGACUCUGGGCGCCUGGUCAGCACCCCAGUGUGAACACAUCCUGCCCUGGGGCCUGGUCCCAGCAGCUCACACAGACCAGGGCUUGCCCAAAGGCAGGUAGGCAGGGCCACUGCUGACCAUGCACCUGGUGGGCCGUGAUUCUGGAACUAAUGGUCUCUGCCUGGCAGGGAGGCCGCCAGGGCCUCUGGGCUUCACCCCUCCCAACCUUCACAGGGGACCUCACCUCAGUGGGAAUGUUCUGGAGCCGGAACCCAAGGUUGGAAUCCCAGCUCCUCCCCUUUCUAGGGCAAGCUCCCAGCCUGUCUGUACUCAGUCUCCCCAACUGUCAAAUGGUAAUAAAACAGUCCUGUCCUCACUGAGUUGUUUGGAUGGGUGAGCAUCAGGUGUCUAGGGCACAGCAUGCUGUGAAGGAGUUAGGAGGGCCAGGUGAAGGAGCCAUGCAGGGCCGGGCCUCCUGGGUAAUGGGGCUAAGAGGAGAAUUCUGUAUGUGGUUCUGAGAAGGAGCAGAGUCCAGCUCUUUUGGAUGUUUGUAUUAGGAAAUUUACUAGAGACCAUGUCACUGCUCCACUCGGAAUCCUCGGGUGGCUUCCCAGUGCCCUUGACAUGGAAUCAAACUCCUCGCUUGGCCAUGCAAUCCGGGCCUGGUAUCCUGGCCCCCUCCCCAGUCCACUGUGGUUGGCUGUGCUGGCCUCGGGGAUCCCAGGCCCUCCACCCUCAUGCCCCACUGAGCACUUGCACCUGUGUCCCACCUCCAGCCCUCACCAGCUGUCCUCCAGCUCUCAUCUGUGAUGCAUCCGCCAGACCUCUGCUCCCAGCCUGCCCUCUCUAAUCUAUAAUCUCAUUUUAUUCUCUGUGUGAGCAUUCAGACUGAUGCUGCCCUGUGCCCGUGCCUGUCAUCAUCCCAGCACACGUGCAGUGUCCCAUAAAUACUGCAGAAUGACUGAGUGAUCAGACCUAGAGAGCCCCAGCCCUGGGUCCACCCUCACUGUGCCUGCACGCGGUGCCAGAGGAGGGCCUGGCCAGGGGUUUGUGGCAUCAUCAUCCCCUGGAACUAUCCCCUGAUGAUGCUGUCCUGGAAGACAGCUGCCUGCCUGGCUGCCGGGAACACAGUGGUGAUCAAGCCUGCUCAGGUGACCCCACUCACAGCCUUGAAGUUUGCAGAGCUGACAUUAAAGGCCGGCAUUCCCAAAGGUGUGGUUAACGUCCUCCCAGGAUCUGGUAAGAGCCAUUGUCGGGGGCAGGGCUAGGGCUUCUGGCAGCUGGAGAUGCCACUGGGCAGAGCAGGCCCUACUGGAUAGUGGCGUGAGGGCAGAGUAGCCUGGGGAGAGCCCAGGCGGGGGCCAGCCUGUGACAAAGGAGGCCCCUCCCAUGGGGGAGGGCACCCGCACCUGGAAGGGCUUUCGUCUUCAGAUGCCCCAGCUGAAUGUAUUCCAGUGUGUGUGUGUGUGUGUGUGUGUGUGUGUGUGUGUGUGUGUGUGUGUGUGUGUCCGCGCGCCCUGGAAUAAACUUGUUACUUGGGGAUUUUCUGCCCUUGGAAGUUUGAGAGAAUUUUUCUUUAGAACAUUUCAGGCUUAAAGCAUUUAGGGAGGUCAUACAUGAAUCAUUUUUUAAGUUUCUGUUGUGUUUAGUGGUCUAGUUUAUGGAAAAGUCUCUUCUUG
rnacentral:lncRNA from 1 species